rnacentral:rRNA from 1 species
GACAGAGGUGGCGAGCGUUGUUCGGAUUUAUUGGGCGUAAAGCGCACGCAGGCGGUUUGGUAAGUCAGGGGUGAAAGCCCACAGCUUAACUGUGGGACUGCCUUUGAUACUGCCUUUCUCGAGUGCAUGAGGGGGAAGCGGAAUUCCGAGUGUAGAGGUGAAAUUCGUAGAUAUUCGGAGGAACACCGGUGGCGAAGGCGGCUUCCUGGCAUGUAACUGACGCUCAGGUGCGAAAGCGUGGGUAGCAAACAGG